GCAAACAGGAUUAGAUACCCUGGUAGUCCACGCCGUAAACGAUGAGUGCUAGGUGUUAGGCCCUUUCCGGGGCUUAGUGCCGCGGCUAACGCAUUAAGCACUCCGCCUGGGGAGUACGACCGCAAGGUUGAAACUCAAAGGAAUUGACGGGGGCCCGCACAAGCGGUGGAGCAUGUGGUUUAAUUCGAGGCAACGCGAAGAACCUUACCAGGUCUUGACAUCCCUCUGACCGCUCUAGAGAUAGAGUUUUCCUUCGGGACAGAGGUGACAGGUGGUGCAUGGUUGUCGUCAGCUCGUGUCGUGAGAUGUUGGGUUAAGUCCCGCAACGAGCGCAACCCCUAUUGUUAGUUGCCAUCAUUGAGUUGGGCACUCUAGCGAGACUGCCGGUAAUAAACCGGAGGAAGGUGGGGAUGACGCCAAAUCAUCAUGCCCCUUAUGACCUGGGCUACACACGUGCUACAAUGGCUGGUACAACGAGUCGCAAGCCGGUGACGGCAAGCUAAUCUCUGAAAGCCAGUCUCAGUUCGGAUUGUAGGCUGCAACUCGCCUACAUGAAGUCGGAAUCGCUAGUAAUCGCGGAUCAGCACGCCGCGGUGAAUACGUUCCCGGGCCUUGUACA
rnacentral:rRNA from 1 species